rnacentral:misc_RNA from 1 species
CAUUCUUGAUUUGGCCUGGAGUGAACAAUUCCCUCAACAGGUAACGUUUUUGUUUAUCAUGCAUAUUUGGCAUCAAGGUUCCCCCUUGUUCUUGCCAUACCUGCCUUUGAUGGCAAAGGGAGCUGUUGGAAGGGACAUUCUUAUUGGGGCAUGUGGUCCUUGUGAAGGUAGUGAAAGAAAUAUGCUCUUACACAGCAUGCCCUGCCAGGUCUUGGGCCCACUUGACUACUAACAUUUUGAUCACUGCCUGUCUGGACUGUGUACUCCAGGUGCAGUUCGGAGACUUCUUGUAUAUAUAGAGAGAAUUUUUUAACUUUGCUGAUUCAUCAGGGUCAAAUAUCUUAAGAAUGAUUUGUGGCUGUUUCAUGUGCAUCAAUCUAUUGUUGCAUCCAUUGUCUGUCUCUCUCUGCUCUGUGUCUCUUGAAUGUGUGCAUGCACACUGAUGUGAAUGCCAGUAAUGGUUCAAUACAUGAAUAUAUGGCAAUGUUCACAGUGGCAUGUGCAGUCCAUUAGUUUAUUAUCUUCUGCGGUAGGCUUAGGACAUUGUUGAUUUAUCAAAUACCACAUCACCCCCCAACGUGUUGUUUGAUAUUGGCCUACUUCUGUAAUUAAUUGAUAUAUGGGCUAUGGGUCUCAUUGAAUUUAAAAUGAAUUCUACUUUACAACAGAUGACAGAAUCAGAAUGCA